UCUGGUUCAUACAUGACGCUCGGACCAAAUUCUUCAAUGAUCAGCGACAAAUAUUACCGCACCCUAACGUUAUUCGAGGGCCGACUCUUUGUGGGAGGAAAGGACCAAUUAUUUUCUCUAAAUCCUGCCAACCUUUCAUUGCUUGAUAGUGCUGUGGACACUGGAUCGUGCAGUAGCUGUAGUAAUUACAUCCGUGUGAUCCAAUCUCUUCCUGUACUGAACAAUACCUUGCUGGAGUGUGGAACCGGUAACGAAGAUCCUUACUGCCGACA